GGAGGAUCCAAAAGAAUUCUCUCUCAGAUCAGCCCCAAAACCCUAAGGAAUUUGCAGAAAAUCUUCUCACUUUUGCAAUUUAAGUUGAUGGGCUGUUUCAAAUCUUGAAGAAUGUAAGUCAAUGAAAGUGAUUUCCACCCAAGUCUAACUACCUCCUUGGUUUCUUCUCUUGAAGAACAGAAAUAGGUAACGACGUGAUAUCGACGGAGAACAAGUGAGCGAUAUCUUAGCUAAACGACCAAGGUAGACAGGGAGGAGAGCUUGGCCCGGGUCCUCAGUAGCUGUCAGCUGAUAGAUAGCACUCCAUUGUUCGGAGGUGCUCAUGGAUAUUCUUUUGAUGUACAUUCAUAUAUGCAUAUUUUGGGCAUGACAGAGUCUUGUUCCGUCUAUGUUAGUAGAGGCUCGUAGAUACGCAGUGUGGGUUAGAUGGUCUCACAAGAUGUUUUCAUAUAUAUGUAUAUUAUUUUGAUGGCCGAAAGGAAAAUGUAUAUAAUGUAUUUAUGUUUUGGUUAAAUAUGAUUUUUCCUACAAUUGGUAUGUAAAAUUGAUAAAAGAGUAUUAAAUGAGCAAGACAAGUAGUAG